rnacentral:rRNA from 1 species
GAUGAACGCUGGCGGCGUGCCUAACACAUGCAAGUCGAGCGAUCUUCUUCGGAAGAGAGCGGCGGACGGGUGAGUAACGCGUGGGUAACCUGCCCUGUACACACGGAUAACAUACCGAAAGGUAUGCUAAUACGGGAUAAUAUGCUUUUAUCGCAUGGUAGAAGUAUCAAAGCUCCGGCGGUACAGGAUGGACCCGCGUCUGAUUAGCUAGUUGGUAAGGUAACGGCUUACCAAGGCGACGAUCAGUAGCCGACCUGAAGGGGUGAUCGGCCACAUUGGAACUGAGACACGGUCCCAACUCCUACGGGAGGCAGCAGUGGGGAAUAUUGCACAAUGGGCGAAAGCCUGAUGCAGCAACGCCGCGUGAGCGAUGAAGGCCUUCGGGUCGUAAAGCUCUGUCCUCAAGGAAGAUAAUGACGGUACUUGAGGAGGAAGCCCCGGCUAACUACGUGCCAGCAGCCGCCGUAAAAC